rnacentral:rRNA from 1 species
UACGUAGGGUGCAAGCGUUGUCCGGAAUUAUUGGGCGUAAAGAGCUCGUAGGCGGUUUGUUGCGUCGGCUGUGAAAACCUGAGGCUCAACCUCAGGCCUGCAGUCGAUACGAGCAGACUAGAGUGUUGCAGGGGAGACUGGAAUUCCUGGUGUAGCGGUGAAAUGCGCAGAUAUCAGGAGGAACACCGGUGGCGAAGGCGGGUCUCUGGGCAACAACUGACGCUGAGGAGCGAAAGCGUGGGGGAGCGAACAGGAUUAGA